GCCAGAGCAGCGGCCAAGGCUGAGGAGAGAGCUGGGACUCGAGACCCUGCUCCACCCUGCUGGCUCUCGCUCGGCCCCAUUACCUGGCAAGCCCCGGCAUCCUUGACCCACGUCCGUGGCGCUGCCUGGGUAGGAACGCGCCUGAAGACCGCGCAGGACACUACCACUGGGCAUCCUGGGUUUGAUGCAGACAUCCUGCACUACAUUCCAGAUCUGAUGAGGCAUGGCUGCCCCAGGAUUACUGGGCUCGGACGGGAGCAGUGGUAGGAAGGAUCCUAUAUAAGUCAUGUGAGACAUAGAAUGUUCAGAUCAACUGAAGCUGAAACAAGCCUUUGGCAUCAUAUAUAACCCAGAAAGGGACAAAGCUGAUCCCAGAGGACUCAAGGCUAUGGGUGAUGUCGAAGGUGCGGAAGAAUCAAGUUGGAAAGACCAGCAGGAGACAGACAGAGUAAGGUUCCUUGAAUGCUUGGUUUAUGUGCCUGGCUGGAGGAGACACCCAUGGCCUUGCAGAGGGAGCGUUCUGGUGGGAAAGCAGACACAACCCACCCUAGGCCCGUGGUUUCCCUGCAAGAAGCCCAGUGGCUUUCUGGAGGACACUUUUCCUGGAGGAAGUGACUCAAGAGCAGCAUAAGCCAGGCUCUAUGGAAUGUUGGGUGAGCUGCUUGAGGAACUCCAAGGCCUGUCCCACAGUCUUCCAGCCUCCGACUCUCCGGCCCUCAGCGAGGAAGUCCCACUGGUUUUUUUGGUUGGUUUUUUUUUUUUUUUUUAAGGUUUUUUGGUUUUUUUUUUUUUUUCUCAUUCCUGUCUUGGGAGCUUUCCCCAACCAGGAGAGUGAAGAUGGGCGGAGCUGUCACACCAACUGUUAGCCUGCCUUGGCUGAGAGGAGAGGAGGCGAGGAGGGAGCGACCACCCAGCUUUAGUCGUUUUAAAACAGCUCCUGACCCUAGAAGAAGGGAAAUGGAGAUGAAGACCCAAUUGACUUGAGAGAGUGAUCUUUCAGCAGACUGAUCGAACACACAGGCUUCUCAGCCCACUCCCUCCAGUCAAGGUUAAGGCCUGGCAAAGGUGGAGGAAGAGAAGCUGAGGAGAAAAAGGCGAGGAGAGCCUAGGCACAGGAAGGCUUCCCUCCCUCCCAGUGCUGAUUUCCUGUGGACCAGAUUCCAGCACAGUGGAGGGCCAGAGCUCAGGGAACAGACCCAGCAGCACAGCAAGUCUCCAAGGAAAGCUCUAGCAGUCUCCAGGGGCUGAAGGCAGGACUGGGGAAGCGGCUAGCCAGGCUGCAGAAGGCAAAUGCUCCCAGACGGCUGUCCAGCACGCAUCCGCCUUCCUAGCCAAGUUUCCUGGGCUCCUGCCACAGAUCUAAGCCUCAUCCUGACAUCCUGCCCUCUGUGCUCUGGGAUGGCCCAGGGGAGAUGCUUAGCCUUGGCUCCUUGUCUGCUGGUGGAGGGGACACACACCCUUUCUGGACCACAGACCAAAAAGAAGACCUGACGUCAUCCUGAGCACCCCCGCCAUGCAGAGUGUGUUCGCAGACUGCCAACGGGCUGGCUCCGGCCAGCAGAAGUGAACAGAGGUGGAGGUUCAGCCUGACAGCUUCUCCCCAAAGCCAUGGAGAGAAAACCUUACCACCCCCACCGCCCAGCUACUUCCAGCAAGUUGUCCAGCCUGACCCCUCUAUUUCCCCUGUUGUCUCUUAUCUGGGUCCCUGAGACCCACCCCAUCUCCAAUAAAGAACAUUGCAUACUGUG
rnacentral:lncRNA from 1 species